UACGUAGGGGGCAAGCGUUGUCCGGAAUCAUUGGGCGUAAAGAGCGUGUAGGCGGCCCGGUAAGUCCGCUGUGAAAGUCCAGGGCUCAACCCUGGGAUGCCGGUGGAUACUGUCGGGCUCGAGUCCGGAAGAGGAGUGUGGAAUUCCUGGUGUAGCGGUGAAAUGCGCAGAUAUCAGGAAGAACACCCGUGGCGAAGGCGGCUCUCUGGUACGUGACUGACGCUGAGACGCGAAAGCGUGGGGAGCGAACAGG
rnacentral:rRNA from 1 species